GAACAAAACAUAAUGAUAUUAGGUUAUCAAGGUUUAAGGCAAACUUUUCUUGCUGUUUCUUCCAUGACCACAACUCCAAAGGCCAAGCAAAAAGCAGAAACUUCCAAGUUUUUGAUUAUCUAACAGUACAAAGGCCUCAGCUCAACCACCAGGAAAUUAAGCGAAAUACAUUAUUCCCACAUAUUAUUACAUAAAACAAUUUAAUUUCAUCGAGUCCCCAUGUCGUGAUUUGGCAGUCGAGUCCAUGGCAGCUGUGACAUAACCCCAAGGGGAGAGUGGACAUUUAUACAUAAGAGUUAGAGCCAAGUUUCUGAAGCAACCUUGCG
rnacentral:misc_RNA from 1 species